rnacentral:rRNA from 1 species
UACGUAGGGGGCGAGCGUUGUCCGGAUUUAUUGGGCGUAAAGAGCGUGUAGGCGGCAAGGUAGGUCUGCUGUGAAAACUCGAGGCUCAACCUCGAGACGUCGGCGGAAACCAUCUGGCUAGAGUCCGGAAGAGGAGAGUGGAAUUCCUGGUGUAGCGGUGAAAUGCGCAGAUAUCAGGAAGAACACCCGUGGCGAAGGCGGCUCUCUGGGACGGUACUGACGCUGAGACGCGAAAGCGUGGGGAGCGAACAGG